rnacentral:lncRNA from 1 species
UGAAUUUCCUUGCAGGGUCUGACUCUGGGCUGCAAAGUGGUUUCCUGGGCAACCAGUUGUUGUGAGAAAAACAGAACAGUGAGAGAACAUGGCAGGGUCAGAUGAGGAAAGAUACUCUGGGGAACUCACGCACGCAGAGGAAUAAGAGGAAGCAGUCGUUUUGCAUGUAAAGCCAGGCUGAUCCAGAGCAGGCAGGUGGCAUGCAAGGCUGAGGGACUGGCAGGCUGGCAGCAUUGCCCAGAGGAGCUCAGUCUGGGAGCACAGAGACAGCGCAUCUCUGGGACCAGACUCUGCAGGCACAGAGUGAGGACCAGCAGCUCUCCUCUGGCUGCAGCCCUUGUAUAUAAGGCUGCAAAGCUGCAAUCAUCUCGAGGAACUCUGUGCAGCAGCAGGAGCUUAUCCCAGAGGGAAACACCUGGAGGAGCCCGGGAGUCAGGCAUCAUGGGCCGCGGGUCUCAGACUCUGUCCAAGAAGCAGUCAGGGGAAGAUGCCAUCUUUCCUCAGACCAUCACCCCUACGCUGGGCCUGGCUGCAUGGAGCGUCUGUGACUACUUGAUUAGGUUUAGACUCCCCAUUUAAAAAGGAAAUUCAGGCUCAUGAAAAAAGAUUUGGAAAAUACACAAAUAAUACUCAUUUGCACACUCAACAUCCACUGUUCUUGGCAUUUGGGUGUCCUUCCUUCUUUCCUUCCUUCCUUCCUUCCUUCCUUCCUUUCUCUUUUUUUUUUUUUUUUUUUGAGAUGGAGUUUCACUCUUGUUGCCCAGGUUGGAGUGCAAUGGCGUGAUCUCAGCUCACCACAACCUCCACCUCCCGGGUUCAAGCGGUUCUCCUGCCUCAGCCUCCCGAGUAGCUGGGAUUACAGGCAUGCGCCACCAUGCCCGGCUAAUUUUGUAUUUUUAGUAGAGAUGAGGUUUCUCCAUGUUGGUCAGGCUGGUCUCGAACUCCUGACCUCAGGUGAUCCGCCUGCCUCUGUCGGCCUCUCAAAAUGCUGGGAAUAGAGGCGUGAGCCACUGCGCCCAGCCGUUUGCGUGUCUUUCUUUCCAGAUUCCACUUGCUGCCCAUGUGCUGUCAGGUGAUUCUCAGUUGACAUCUUAUCACCGCCAUGUCCUAAUAAUAAUAAUAAUAAAAUACGACUUGGAGCACAUGCUGGGACCUGCUAUAACCUGCACGCCAUGAGCUCCUUCAGUUCUAUGAUGACGCUUUGAAGGGGGAAAUUUCACCCCUCCCUGUUUGACAGAUGAAGUCACUGGGGCAAAGCCACGCAGCUAGAGCCAAGCUUUGAGGCCAGGCAGCUUUGCACAAAGGCGACUGCACAGACCACCUGUUCUUACUCCUCCUACAGCAGUGACUGAGUUCCUUCCAGCUGAAGGUUCUGUCUGGAGCUCCCAGGACUCUGCGAUGGUGAAAACUGCAUCCCUGAGAGUCUGUUAAUUCCUUCAGGGACCCUCCAAGACUGGGGCUUGACUCAGCUUCCAGCGUAGCCAGGCCUUUCUGGAGUCUUCCAACCCCUGGUAUCAGCUCUUUCUCGUGGGAGGCUAAGAGUCCAGAGGAUCCAAGUGACCCUGGUCCUUGUCUCUGUCCACCAAAGGCUCCUGAAAUAAAACAGAGUUGGUAGAUCUGUUUCCAAGUGACAACACCCCUUGUCUGUCCCCACCAGAGGCUCUUGAAAUAAAACCCUGAGUUGGUAGGUCUGUUGCUUGCUGCUGAAAUGCAAGCUCAGGGCUCCCUGGGUUUUGAACACCAUUUGGGGCUCUGAGUACCUGUGGGGGAAGGGAAGCC